UUUAAAGAAAUGAUUUGUUCUGUUUCUGCAGUAUCUACUUCAUCGGUGUGUUUACACUGCUGAUAAACAAAGUCUCCCUGCAGGUCACAGUAGAGGGUUUUAUUGGUGGUUCUGUUGUUCUGCUAUGUUCAUCAACUGAAAAUGAUCUUAAACUUCAAGACAUUAAUGUGCACUGGAGAGACAAAGACAGAAGGAUUGUGUGUGAUAUAGUCAUGGGUCAUUAUUCACAAGAGUUUCAGGACCAACGGUACAAGAACAGAGUUGAAACUUUCCCUGAUGAGUAUCUGACAGGAAACGUCUCCAUCAAACUCAAAAAUCUUGAACACACUGAUGCAGGGAAAUACACCUGCCUCAUCACACCCUCAUCUGAACGUCAGACUGUACAGCUGAUCAUCAAUGAAUCAACAGCAGGAAACAAAACCACUGAUCAAGAAAAUAAAGAAGAUACUGAAGCAGACAGGAAAUCAUUGCUCUGGGUUUACAUUGUAGUACCUGUAAUAUUAAUAGGGCUUAUAGGGCUUAUAACCAGUGUAAUCAUAUUUAACAAAAAAAAAAUUAAAUUCUCUUCUGCCUCAUUCUCUUCUGUCACAAC